CGCCGCAGGAUCCGCGCCCCGGAGGCGGCUUCCAGCGCCUCAGCCGUGCCUUUAACUUCAGAGCCUGCCCCACAGCAUCAGCUCGUUUGUUGCUUUUAGUAGCGAAUGCCGGUACUCCGGGAUGGCUGUAGAAGUAAGGCAGACUGUGACAGGCUGUUUCAUGCAGAGAGACCGCGGGCACUCUAUCCUGUCCCCCAGGCAGUGAGAAGCCAAAAGAAGCAAAUCUUCAGUGCUACAACAAUGUGUGUUUCAGGUCACAGACUGCUUCUGGAGCACAGGUGACCCUGCACUGGAACAGAUUGACCAGAGAGGUUGUGGAGUCUUCUCCAGAGAUAUUCAAAAGCUGUCAGCAUCUGGAGUACCAUUGGUCUAGCGGGCUGUGUUCGAGGAGAGAGCUUGGGCUAGAUGACCACCAGUGGCCCAGUCCACUUAACUCAUCUGUGUGUUUCAGUGAAGAAGGAAGGGUAGAAAACAAAACUUUUCAACAACUCUAAUAAAGCCCUAGAGAAACUUAGAAUUUUAUCAGUUCAAUUUGACUGGCAACCGAAAGAAGGAUGAAAGAUGAAAGAUGACUAUUGGGAUGUACUUGUAUCCCAUCAGGGCGAAAUAAAAGGUAACAAAGAAUGAAGUAACUCAAGGUAAGCACAAUAGUAAUGAAUUGAAAUUAAAGCCAUAAAAUACAACAUAAGCCAUUUCUCCAUCAAAAAUGAAGUGGUUAAUCACUGGAACAA